rnacentral:rRNA from 1 species
UAGAGUUUGAUCCUGGCUCAGAUUGAACGCUGGCGGCAUGCUUUACACAUGCAAGUCGAGCGGCAGCGCGGGGGCAACCCUGGCGGCGGGCGGCGAACGGGUGAGUAACACAUCGGAACGUGUCCUGUGGUGGGGGAUAACCUGGCGAAAGCCAGGCUAAUACCGCAUGAGCUGGAGACAGCAAAGCGGGGGACCGCAAGGCCUCGCGCCCGAGGAGCGGCCGAUGUCCGAUUAGCUAGUUGGUGGGGUAAAGGCCCACCAAGGCGACGAUCGGUAGCUGGUCUGAGAGGAUGAUCAGCCACACUGGGACUGAGACACGGCCCAGACUCCUACGGGAGGCAGCAGUGGGGAAUUUUGGACAAUGGGGGCAACCCUGAUCCAGCCAUGCCGCGUGAGUGAAGAAGGCCUUCGGGUUGUAAAGCUCUUUCGGUGGGAACGAAAUGGCCCGGGUGAACACCCCGGGUCGAUGACGGUACUCACAGAAGAAGCACCGGCUAACUACGUGCCAGCAGCCCCGGUCA